GGGAACUCAAAGGAGACUGCCGGUGAUAAACCGGAGGAAGGUGGGGACGACGUCAAGUCAUCAUGGCCCUUACGAGUAGGGCUACACACGUGCUACAAUGGCGCGUACAGAGGGAAGCAAGCUAGCGAUAGUAAGCGGAUCCCAAAAAGCGCGUCGUAGUCCGGAUCGGAGUCUGCAACUCGACUCCGUGAAGUCGGAAUCGCUAGUAAUCGUGGAUCAGAAUGCCACGGUGAAUACGUUCCCGGGCCUUGUACACACCGNNCGNCACACCAUGGGAGUGGGCUGCACCAGAAGUAGAUAGCUUAACCUUCG
rnacentral:rRNA from 1 species